rnacentral:rRNA from 1 species
GACGUAGGAUGCAAGCGUUGUUCGGAUUUAUUGGGCGUAAAGCGUACGUAGGCGGCUAUCUAAGUCUGGUGUUAAAGCUAGGGGCUCAACCCCUGUGAUGCACUGGAAACUGGGUAGCUUGAGUGCGGUAGGGGAAGGUGGAAUUCCGAGUGUAGCGGUGAAAUGCGUAGAUAUUCGGAAGAACACCGGUGGCGAAGGCGACCUUCUGGGCCGUUACUGACGCUGAGGUACGAAAGCGUGGGGAGCAAACAGGG